GACGAACGCUGGCGGCGUGCCUAAUACAUGCAAGUUGAGCGCUGAAGGUUGGUACUUGUACCAACUGGAUGAGCAGCGAACGGGUGAGUAACGCGUGGGGAAUCUGCCUUUGAGCGGGGGACAACAUUUGGAAACGAAUGCUAAUACCGCAUAAAAACUUUAAACACAAGUUUUAAGUUUGAAAGAUGCAAUUGCAUCACUCAAAGAUGAUCCCGCGUUGUAUUAGCUAGUUGGUGAGGUAAAGGCUCACCAAGGCGAUGAUACAUAGCCGACCUGAGAGGGUGAUCGGCCACAUUGGGACUGAGACACGGCCCAAACUCCUACGGGAGGCAGCAGUAGGGAAUCUUCGGCAAUGGACGAAAGUCUGACCGAGCAACGCCGCGUGAGUGAAGAAGGUUUUCGGAUCGUAAAACUCUGUUGGUAGAGAAGAACGUUGGUGAGAGUGGAAAGCUCAUCAAGUGACGGUAACUUCCCAGAAAGGGACGGCUAACUACGUG
rnacentral:rRNA from 1 species